UACAGAGGUGGCAAGCGUUGUUCGGAUUUACUGGGCGUAAAGGGCGCGUAGGCGGCGUGACAAGUCACUUGUGAAAUCUCCGGGCUUAACUCGGAACGGUCAAGUGAUACUGUCGUGCUAGAGUACAGAAGGGGCAACUGGAAUUCUCGGUGUAGCGGUGAAAUGCGUAGAUAUCGAGAGGAACACCUGCGGCGAAGGCGGAUCUCUGGGCCAUUACUGACGCUGAGGAGCGAAAGCGUGGGGAGCGAACAGG
rnacentral:rRNA from 1 species